ACGGGAAGAGCCCAAACCAACAAGCUUGCUUGUUGGGGUUGUAGGACACUCUAUACGGAGUUACAAAGGACGACAUUAGACGAAUCAUCUGGAAAGAUGAAUCAAAGAAGGUAAUAAUCCUGUAGUCGAAAAUGUUGUCUCUCUUGAGUGGAUCCUGAGUACGACGGAGCACGUGAAAUUCCGUCGGAAUCUGGGAGGACCAUCUCCUAAGGCUAAAUACUCUCUAGUGACCGAUAGUGAACCAGUACCGUGAGGGAAAGGUGAAAAGCACCCCGGAAGGGGAGUGAAAUAGAACCUGAAACCGUGUGCUUACAAGUAGUCAGAGCCCGUUAAUGGGUGAUGGCGUGCCUUUUGUAGAAUGAACCGGCGAGUUACGAUUUGAUGCAAGGUUAAGCAGUAAAUGUGGAGCCGUAGCGAAAGCGAGUCUGAAUAGGGCGUUUAGUAUUUGGUCGUAGACCCGAAACCAGGUGAUCUACCCUUGGUCAGGUUGAAGUUCAGGUAACACUGAAUGGAGGACCGAACCGACUUACGUUGAAAAGUGAGCGGAUGAACUGAGGGUAGCGGAGAAAUUCCAAUCGAACCUGGAGAUAGCUGGUUCUCUCCGAAAUAGCUUUAGGGCUAGCCUCAAGUGAUGAUUAUUGGAGGUAGAGCACUGUUUGGACGAGGGGCCCCUCUCGGGUUACCGAAUUCAGACAAACUCCGAAUGCCAAUUAAUUUAACUUGGGAGUCAGAACAUGGGUGAUAAGGUCCGUGUUCGAAAGGGAAACAGCCCAGACCACCAGCUAAGGUCCCAAAAUAUAUGUUAAGUGGAAAAGGAUGUG
rnacentral:rRNA from 1 species